rnacentral:precursor_RNA from 14 species
GUGAAACUCCAUCACCACACGACUGGAUUUUGGCCUCCGCAGGGUUGAAGCUGCUAGAGAAGCUUCAACCUUAAGGGGGCCUCAGGGAGAGAGGAGUGGCGCCGCGGCGGAGCG